rnacentral:rRNA from 1 species
GACGAACGCCGGCGGCGUGCUUAACACAUGCAAGUCGAGCGGUAAGGCCCCUUCGGGGGUACACGAGCGGCGAACGGGUGAGUAACACGUGAGCAACCUACCCUCAACUUUGGGAUAAGCCUCGGAAACGGGGUCUAAUACCGAAUAUCACUCCUUGUUUCAUGGCGGGGGGUUGAAAGUUCUGGCGGUUGGGGAUGGGCUCGCGGCCUAUCAGCUUGUUGGUGGGGUAAUGGCCUACCAAGGCGUCGACGGGUAGCCGGCCUGAGAGGGCGACCGGCCACACUGGGACUGAGACACGGACCAGACUCCUACGGGAGGCAGCAGUGGGGAAUAUUGCGCAAUGGACGAAAGUCUGACGCAGCAACGCCGCGUGAGGGAUGACGGCCUUCGGGUUGUAAACCUCUUUCAGCAGGGACGAAGCGAGAGUGACGGUACCUGCAGAAGAAGGACCGGCCAACUACGUGCCAGCCGCCGCAGUAAUAC